AUUGAACGCUGGCGGCAUGCUUUACACAUGCAAGUCGAACGGUAACAGGUUAAGCUGACGAGUGGCGAACGGGUGAGUAAUGCAUCGGAACGUGCCGAUCGUGGGGGAUAACGCAGCGAAAGCUGCGCUAAUACCGCAUACGGUCUGAGGAUGAAAGCGGGGGACCGUAAGGCCUCGCGCGAUCGGAGCGGCCGAUGUCAGAUUAGGUAGUUGGUGGGGUAAAGGCUCACCAAGCCAACGAUCUGUAGCUGGUCUGAGAGGACGACCAGCCACACUGAGACUGAGACACGGCCCAGACUCCUACGGGAGGCAGCAGUGGGGAAUUUUGGACAAUGGGCGAAAGCCUGAUCCAGCAAUGCCGCGUGCAGGAAGAAGGCCUUCGGGUUGUAAACUGCUUUUGUACGGAGCGAAAAGGCUCUCUCUAAUACAGGGGGCUCAUGACGGUACCGUAAGAAUAAGCACCGGCUAACUACGUGCCAGCCGCCGCGGUAA
rnacentral:rRNA from 1 species